rnacentral:rRNA from 1 species
GUAGGGGUGCGAGCGUUAUCCGGAAUCAUUGGGCGUAAAGAGCUCGUAGGGCGGUUCAGCAAGUCGGCUGUGAAAUUCCGAGGCUCAACCUCGGAACUGCAGUCGAUACUGUUGUGACUCGAGUCCGGUAGAGGAGAAUGGAAUUCCCGGUGUAGCGGUGAAAUGCGCAGAUAUCGGGAGGAACACCAGUAGCGAAGGCGGUUCUCUGGGCCGGCACUGACGCUGAGGAGCGAAAGCGUGGGUAGCAAACAGGAUUAGAUACCCUGGUAGUCCACGCCGUAAACGUUGGAUACUAGGUGUGGGGUUCCGACCAACGGUCCCCGUGCCGAAGCUAACGCAUUAAGUAUCCCGCCUGGGGAGUACGGCCGCAAGGCUA